rnacentral:rRNA from 1 species
CGUAGGGUGCAAGCGUUAAUCGGAAUUACUGGGCGUAAAGCGUGCGCAGGCGGUGAUGUAAGACAGUUGUGAAAUCCCCGGGCUCGACCUGGGAACUGCAUCUGUGACUGCAUCGCUGGAGUGCGGCAGAGGGGGGAUGGAAUUCCGCGUGUAGCAGUGAAAUGCGUAGAUAUGCGGAGGAACACCGAUGGCGAAGGCAAUCCCCUGGGCCUGCACUGACGCUCAUGCACGAAAGCGUGGGGGAGCAAACAGGAUUAGAUACCCUGGUAGUCCACGCCCUAAACGAUGUCAACUGGUUGUUGGGUCUUCACUGACUCAGUAACGAAGCUAACGCGUGAAGUUGACCGCCUGGGGAGUACGGCCGCAAGGUUG